rnacentral:miRNA from 1 species
AUGUUUGAUAUAUUAGGUU